rnacentral:rRNA from 1 species
ACUCAAAGGAAUAGACGGGGGCCCGCACAAGCGGUGGAGCAUGUGGUUUAAUUCGAUGCAACGCGAAGAACCUUACCUACCCUUGACAUCCUGCGGACCUGGCUGAGAGGCCGGGGUGCCGAAAGGAACGCAGAGACAGGUGCUGCAUGGCUGUCGUCAGCUCGUGUUGUGAGAUGUUGGGUUAAGUCCCGUAACGAGCGCAACCCUUGUCCUUAGUUGCCAUCAUUUAGUUGGGGACUCUAAGGAGACUGCCGGUGAGGAACCGGAGGAAGGCGGGGACGACGUCAAGUCAUCAUGGCCUUUAUGGGUAGGGCCACACACGUGCUACAAUGGGGCGUACAGAGGGCCGCGAACCCGCGAGGGGGAGCCAAUCUCGGAAAGCGCCUCGUAGUCCGGAUUGGGGUCUGCAACUCGACCCCAUGAAGUUGGAAUCGCUAGUAAUCGCGGAUCAGCUACGCCGCGGUGAAUACGUUCCCGGGCCUUGUACACACCGCCCGU